GACGAACGCUGGCGGCGUGCUUAACACAUGCAAGUCGAACGGUAAGGCCGUUCGUGGUUCUGCAGUGGCAAACGCGAGAGGAACAGUAGGACGAUCUGACUCGCACUCUGGCUUAAGGAUGAGAACCUGAGUCGAAUUCUGAUUCGGGCUACGCGCUGCAUGGGCAGUGUUAGCAGCCGGUGACAAUUUCGGUUGGGGAUGCGCUCGCGGCGUAUCAUCUUGUUGUUGUGGUCAUGGCUGACCAAGGCGUCGACGGGUAGCCGGCCUGAGAGGGUGACCGGCCACACUGGGACUGAGAUAAGGACCAGACUCCUACGGGAGGCAGCAGUGGGGAAUAUUGCACAAUGGGCGCAAGCCUGAUGCAGCAACGCCGCGUGAGGGAUGACGGCCUUCGGGUUGUAAACCUCUUUGAGCAGGGAAGAAGCGAAAGUGACGGUACCUAUAGAAGAAGCGCCGGCUAACUACGUG
rnacentral:rRNA from 1 species